rnacentral:lncRNA from 7 species
GGACUCUUCUAGAGCCUCCGCAUCGCAACUCACAGGCUCGACUCUUCCAGCCUCCGACUCCGCAUCCGCCUCCCCGGCGGAGCCUCUCGCCACCGCACAGCCUAGAUCCGCCCAGAGGAGCUCAAUCUCCCCCUCGAGGCCCCAAAACGAGAUCCUCUGCAUUCCUGCAUAGAUGCAGACGGCUGCUUCGUUUGGGUAUGCGGCGGGACGGGGACCUCGGAAGCGAGCUACAACGACGUCCCCCCCCCCCCCCCCCC